UACGUAGGGGGCAAGCGUUGUCCGGAUUUAUUGGGCGUAAAGAGCGUGUAGGCGGCUAUACAGGUCCGCUGUGAAAACUCGAGGCUCAACCUCGAGACGUCGGUGGAAACCGUAUGGCUAGAGUCCGGAAGAGGAGAGUGGAAUUCCCGGUGUAGCGGUGAAAUGCGCAGAUAUCGGGAAGAACACCCGUGGCGAAGGCGGCUCUCUGGGACGGUACUGACGCUGAGACGCGAAAGCGUGGGGAGCGAACAGG
rnacentral:rRNA from 1 species